UGUAGGAUAGGUGGGAGGCUUUGAAGUGUGGACGCCAGUCUGCAUGGAGCCGACCUUGAAAUACCACCCUUUAAUGUUUGAUGUUCUAACGUUGGCCCCUAAUCGGGGUUGCGGACAGUGUCUGGUGGGUAGUUUGACUGGGGCGGUCUCCUCCUAAAGAGUAACGGAGGAGCACGAAGGUUGGCUAAUCCUGGUCGGACAUCAGGAGGUUAGUGCAAUGGCAUAAGCCAGCUUGACUGCGAGCGUGACGGCGCGAGCAGGUGCGAAAGCAGGUCAUAGUGAUCCGGUGGUUCUGAAUGGAAGGGCCAUCGCUCAACGGAUAAAAGGUACUCCGGGGAUAACAGGCUGAUACCGCCCAAGAGUUCAUAUCGACGGCGGUGUUUGGCACCUCGAUGUCGGCUCAUCACAUCCUGGGGCUGAAGUAGGUCCCAAGGGUAUGGCUGUUCGCCAUUUAAAGUGGUACGCGAGCUGGGUUUAGAACGUCGUGAGACAGUUCGGUCCCUAUCUGCCGUGGGCGCUGGAGAACUGAGGGGGGCUGCUCCUAGUACGAGAGGACCGGAGUGGACGCAUCACUGGUGUUCGGGUUGUCAUGCCAAUGGCACUGCCCGGUAGCUAAAUGCGGAAGAGAUAAGUGCUGAAAGCAUCUAAGCACGAAACUUGCCCCG
rnacentral:rRNA from 1 species